rnacentral:rRNA from 1 species
UACGUAGGGGGGCUAGCGUUGUCCGGAAUCAUUGGGCGUAAAGAGCGUGUAGGCGGUCCGGUAAGUCCGCUGUGAAAGUCGGGGGCUCAACCCUCGAAUGCCGGUGGAUACUGUCGGGCUAGAGUGCGGAAGAGGCGAGUGGAAUUCCUGGUGUAGCGGUGAAAUGCGCAGAUAUCGGGAAGAACACCCGUGGCGAAGGCGGUUCUCUGGGACGGUACUGACGCUGAGACGCGAAAGCGUGGGGAGCGAACAGG